rnacentral:rRNA from 1 species
UACGGAGGGGGCUAGCGUUGUUCGGAUUUACUGGGCGUAAAGCGCGUGUAGGCGGCGCGUCAAGUCGGGUGUGAAACCCCGGGGCUCAACCCCGGGCGGCCGCCCGAAACUGGCGCGCUUGAGGACGGAAGAGGGGAGUGGAAUUCCUGGUGUAGCGGUGAAAUGCGUAGAGAUCAGGAGGAACACCCGUGGCGAAGGCGGCUCCCUGGUCCGUCCCUGACGCUGAGACGCGAAAGCGCGGGGAGCGAACGGG